ensembl:rRNA 5S_rRNA 5S ribosomal RNA
UACAGCAGCCAUAUCACCCUGCAGCCCAAGACUGGUUGCCCACUGAAGCUAAGCAGGGUUGAGCCUGGUCAGUACCUGGAUGGGAGACCUCCUGGGAAAACUAGGUUGCUGCUGGAA